rnacentral:rRNA from 1 species
AACGAACGCUGGCGGCAUGCCUAACACAUGCAAGUCGAACGAGAUCUUCGGGUCUAGUGGCGCACGGGUGUGUAACGCGUGGGAAUCUGCCCUUUGGUUCGGAAUAACAGUUGGAAACGACUGCUAAUACCGGAUAAUGACGAAAGUCCAAAGAUUUAUCGCCAGAGGAUGAGCCCGCGUAGGAUUAGCUAGUUGGUGUGGUAAAGGCGCACCAAGGCGACGAUCCUUAGCUGGUCUGAGAGGAUGAUCAGCCACACUGGGACUGAGACACGGCCCAGACUCCUACGGGAGGCAGCAGUGGGGAAUAUUGGACAAUGGGCGAAAGCCUGAUCCAGCAAUGCCGCAUGAGUGAUGAAGGCCUUAGGGUUGUAAAGCUCUUUUACCCGGGAUGAUAAUGACAGUACCGGGAGAAUAAGCUCCGGCUAACUCCGUGCCAGCAGCCGCCGUAA